rnacentral:misc_RNA from 1 species
UACAGAGGGUGCGAGCGUUAAUAGGAUUUACUGGGCGUAAAGCGUGCGUAGGCGGCUUUUUAAGUUGGCUGUGCAAUCCCCGAGCUUAACUUGGGAAUUGCAUUCGAUACUGGCACGCUAGAGUAUGGGAGAGGAUGGUAGAAUUCCAGGUGUAGCGGUGAAAUGCGUUGAGAUCUGGAGGAAUACCGAUGGCGAAGGCAGCCAUCUGGCCUAAUACUGACGCUGAGGUACGAAAGCAUGGGGAGCAAACGGG